GACGAGCGCUGGCGGCGUGCCUAACACAUGCAAGUCGAACGAGAAAGGGAUUUCGGUCCUGAGUAAAGUGGCGCACGGGUGAGUAACACGUAGGUAACCUACCUCUAAGUUUGGGAUAACCUGUCGAAAGAUGAGCUAAUACUGAAUAAGACCACAGUUUCCUCGGAAGCAGGGGUCAAAGGUAGCCUCUAUUUAUAAGCUAUCACUUAGGGAUGGGCCUGCGUACCAUUAGCUAGUUGGGAGGUAACGGCUCACCAAGGCAAAGAUGGUUAGCUGGUCUGAGAGGAUGAUCAGCCACACUGGAACUGAGACACGGUCCAGACUCCUACGGGAGGCAGCAGUGGGGAAUAUUGCGCAAUGGGCGAAAGCCUGACGCAGCAACGCCGCGUGAGUGAUGAAGGCCUCGGUCGUAA
rnacentral:rRNA from 1 species